AAAUGGCAAUUCCCUCAUUGUAUUGGUGCAAUUGAUGGAAAACACGUCAUUAUUCAAUGUCCUGACAACGCAGGAUCAGAAUAUUAUAAUUAUAAAGACAGUCACAGCAUUAUUUUACUCGCAAUAAGUGAUGCAAAUUACAUCAUACGCUGUGUAGACAUUGAUGCUCCUGGAAGACAGGGUGAUGCAGGCGUUUUUAA